GGUCCCAUAGCUCAGCUGGUUAGAGCACCUGACUCAUAAUCAGGUGGCCCUUGGUUCGAGUCCAAGUGGGACCACUA
rnacentral:tRNA from 2 species